CCUACGGGGGGCAGCAGUGGGGAAUUUUGCGCAAUGGGCGAAAGCCUGACGCAGCAACGCCGCGUGCGGGAUGAAGGCCUUCGGGUCGUAAACCGCUUUCAGCAGGGACGAAACUGACGGUACCUGCAGAAGAAGCCCCGGCUAACUACGUGCCAGCAGCCGCGGUAAUACGUAGGGGGCAAGCGUUAUCCGGAUUCAUUGGGCGUAAAGAGCGCGUAGGCGGCUUGGUAAGUCAGAUGUGAAAACCGGGGGCUCAACCCGCGGCCUGCAUCUGAAACUGCCAGGCUUGAGUCUGGUAGAGGAAAGUGGAAUUCCCAGUGUAGCGGUGAAAUGCGCAGAUAUUGGGAGGAACACCAGUGGCGAAGGCGGCUUUCUGGGCCACGACUGACGCUGAGGCGCGAAAGCUAGGGGAGCAAACAGGAUUAGAUACCCUUGUAGUC
rnacentral:rRNA from 1 species